CCAAUCAGGAUAGAAAAAGGGAGGAGCUUCCUUCCCUCAACUCCAGGGGAGGCUGCCUCUAUGACUGAUGGACAGCCACAACAGAUAGAGAAAGGGAGGAGCUUCCUUCCCUCAACUCCAACUGCCUCUAUUACUGAAUUCAGACGUAACGGAAGCAGCCACAAACCGGAGGUCCGAGCAGUGAACCUCACUUCAAACCACGGGAAUUGUAGUUUGGUUGCAAGGUGGGGAACAGAAAAGAGGCAGCAGUGGUGAAAGCCAAGGGCUCGGGGUCAAACUACAAGUUAUGCCUGGUGCGUUGCUGUAGGGGAGAGUCUGAAUGAGGAGAAAGGAGAAUAUCUUGAGAAAGAGUGAGAUUAAGAAGAAGAGUUUGGAACAAGAAGAGAAAGAGCAGAGACUGCACAGAUGAAAAGGGGACGAGAACAGCGACUUUCUGUGCUUUAGCAUCAUUCACUCAGCCACAGAGUCAGCACCAGGAGCCAUGGAGGCUGGGGCCUAAGGACUGCAGAGAAAUUUGAGGCGUGGCUGUUCCAUCUGCCCUAUAUGGAUGAUUACAGCACUUUUGAGACUCCUGUGGUCUCUCUGUGCUCCUGCUGUGGGCGAUUAAAGGUCCAGGAGCAGACCAGUCAGAAUAUUAGCAGUACUAACCUGCCAACGUGCACUUAGCCUUUGCUAUGGCUCUCCACCUUCAUCUUCCAAAGAGAAAGAGAGUGCUGUGGGAUAGACAAUAUAUAUCCGAAAACAGUACUUGCUGAUGAAAUGCUCAUCUAGACUAAUGGAUUCCCCCUUCCCCACUAGCCUAUAUCCCUCAUCCCCUAAAAAGCUGACUGCCUCACUCCCAGCACUUCCUUUUCCCUGGAUUUCAAAUCAAAUUCCUGUAAUUUCUUAUUUAUUUUAACUGAUUGAUUUGAACACCUGCUACUAGGGAGCAAUUGUGCACUCACUUGAAUGCUUCUGUCUUCUUUGUUAAAGUGCCUGCAGGUAGUUCACACAUAUAUUCUGGGUUUGAUGUGGUCAUUGGGUCCAAAUGGGUUUGCAGUGGCCUAUCCAGUUAGUCCUUUUCUGCACCAUAAGGAGACAUUUACAUGUCUAGGGCAGCUUUCCAAUUCCAUGCCCUUCCUGACCAUGGGCUCAUCACCACACAUGUUUUAUUCUAUUUUUAAAGACAUCCACAUUCAGUGCCAUGAUAAGAGGAGGGGGCGCACCCAGCCAGCACUUGGUGUUGUCAGGGACCAGCCAGCCCCAGGAUACUUCUGGUGAAAUUCCAUAUUCUUAUUGCUCAGAUACUCAGAUCCUGUUCUCUACAACUAGUAAGCUCAGAAGGUGUUUCAAGAACCUGGUGACUCUACAGAGUCCUGUACACUGUGCCAAGUUAUUCCAACUGGGCACAGUGUUCACCCUGACCUGUGAGUCCCUAUUUCUCCUACAGUCUGCAGAAACAAAUGCUGUACCCGGGGAGAAUUUCUCCCCUGGUGAUUUGGAAUGCAGUGUACAGUGUUUGUCUCAAGAGACAACUGCUGUACCUGGGGGAGAACCAGGUGGCGUGGCCAGAAGGUGCACUGGUUCAAGGGCAGGAGUAGCUAGCACAUACCUGCUCUCCUGUUCCUAGGUACACUAUACCCAGUUUGAAUAACGUACAAACAUGGCGGUCCUGUUCAGUCAACGGCAGCUGGCCAGAGUCACCAGUCUCUGGCUCUCUCCUCUUCCACCAGCAAUGUUGGUUCGCUGGAUGUACCCAACAUAUCCUAUGAAUUCUCAAAGUAUUGUUUUAAGCCAAACAAUGCAUAACAAACAAAGAUGAAAUAAUAAAAGGCAAACUUAAAAUACAGGCAGCAGAAGGAAAGGAUUGACAAAAAUCACCCCAUCCCAUUGCGUAAGAAACAUUAUUCCACAAACAUGACAUUAGUCUGGAUGUCGACAGCUAAAUGGAACCACCAUUGUCAGAGACAGUAUACCUCUGAUAACCAGAUGAUGUUGGGGGAAGAAAGCACCACAGGAUGGCUAUCUCCAUCUUGCUUCAUGUGUAAGCCUUUCAGGAGCAACUGAUUGGCCACUUGGUUAGAGAAAGAGUGCUGGAUGAUUUGGUUGACCGUCCAUUAUGAGGCCUGACAUCACCUACUUUCAACGGGAAGCUUCGGUUGAUACCAAUUUCAUGGUGCUUCUAAUUAAGAUGAUUAUCUUGUGGUACCGUAUUUUACGGAGUAUAAGACACACUUUUUUCCUUGAAAAACAACCGCCCAAAUUCAGGAGCGUCCUAGUCAGCCUGCCCGCCGCCCCCUUCCCCAGGCUCCCUCCCGUUGCCGCACUGAUGCUUCUGCAGUGAGGGAAGCUGCUGCCCGCCGGCGGCCGCGAUGAAGAACAACAACCAGUGGCCGCCGCCGCCAUGGGUCACCAACGUGGUCUCGCUGCUGCUCACCCCGCAAGAGAACGAAAGCAAGAGGACAGAGCGGGCGCGGUGUAAGGGCUUGGAGGGGAGAUGGAGGCGAGGGGAGAUGGAGGCGAGAGGAGAAGGAAAGCUCAGAGAAGGAAAGCUCAGAGAAGGAAAGAAGGAAAGCUCAGAGAAGGAAAACUCAAAGGGAAAGCUCAGAAAAGGAAAGCUCAGAGAAGGAAAACUCUCAAAAACUGGAUUAAAUUUAAGGUGCGUCGUAUAGUCCGUAGCGUCUUAUAGUCCGUAAAAUACGGUAUAUGGUGAUUGUGGUAUGUAUAUAGUGAUUGUGGUAUGCACUUUUCCUUUUAUUUAUCUAUCUAUUAUAUUUUUAUACUGCCUGGUAUGUACAUCUCUAGGCGGUGUACUAAAAUCAAAAUAUUUAAAAGUCAGCACAGAUUAAAAUACAUGACACAAUAAAACACUAGCAUAAAACAGUUAUUAAAACAAAUUAUUAAAAUUAUUAAAAUUAAUUCUAUUUAAAAGCCUGCGAGAACAGGAUAGUCUUGAGUGUCUUUCUGAAAACAAAUAGAGAAGGAGAUGCUCUUAUUUCAGCACGGAUCAUAUUCCAAAGCGCUGGGGCAGCCAAAGAGAAAGCCUGAUCCUGAGUUGCCACCAGAUGAGCUGGUGGCAACCAUAACCUGACCUGUCCAGAAGAUUGUAACAGGUAUCACAGUUCAUGACAAAGGAGGCGCUCUCUUAAAUAGCCUGGACCCAAUCGGUUAAGGGCUUUAUAGGUGAUAACCAGCAAUUUGUAUUUCCCCCUGGAAACAUAUCGGCAGCCAGUGCAAUUUUUUCAAAACUGGUGUUAUAUGGUCCCUUCGUGUUGUCCCAGAAACCAAUCUGGCUGCCGCAUUCUGUACCAAUUGUAGUUUCUGGACUAUGUACAAAGGCAGUCCCACGUAAAGCGCAAUGCAGUAGUCAAGCCUGGAGGUUACCAGCAUAUGUACCACUGUUUUAAGGUCAUUUACCUCCAGAAAUGGAUGUAGCUGUCAUUUCAACCGAAGCUGAUAAAAAGCGCUCCUGGCUUUUUAUCAGCUGAGAAACCAGGGAGAGCUUUGGGUUAUAACCUGCGGUUACAACAAUAAAGUUAUGACUGAUGUUCUGAAGUCAGCUGUGUGCCUGCUUAUUUCAAAAAUGAAUACUACAAAUAAUAAAUAACAAGAAAGAACUCUGAGCCAGAGUGGUACAGUGGUUAGUGUGCUAGACUAGACUGGGGAAAUCCUAGUUUCAUUCAGCCAUGAAACUCACUGGGUGACUCUGGGACAUUCUGAAGUUAGAAGGUGUUACGAGAACAGCCUGUCUGGAGGCUACAAGCAGCACUCCUCUACAUGGUUUGGAACUGUAGGCUUGCAGUUCCAUCUUGGCUACCUGGGCUUGGAGGACUGCAAGCCCUCCACAUGCCCAAAAUAUUUUGCAAUACAGAGAAGGGUGCUGGCUGAGUAAUGUGAGUUAUGGAGGACUAUUUCUCAAAAGAGUCCUCUUCUUGUUGGUGCACCACUCAAUGGUCUGCUCCUUCUUUGGACCCACCAUCUGUGUGUACUUUGGCUCUUGCAAUUUC